GGCAGGAGUUCAGCACCACGGACAGCGACCUGCGGGUGGGAGACGCUGCCAGCCACGCGGCCGAACUCCGGACUGGGGGCCACGUGGAGGAGGCCUUGGUUCAGCUCUGCCCCAUGCCUCACGGGACACACAUUUAUCACCUGGAAACAGCGGCCAGUGCUCAGGAAGGCUCAUGCCAUUGCGGAUCUGCCUUCAUUAAAUCCAAAGCA
rnacentral:lncRNA from 1 species